ACACUUAUAGGAAUGACUAGAAAGGGGGAUGAGUUUUUUUGUGGUGAGCUCUGAUGUCACAUUAAGGGGCCUAUCUAUUAUGCUGUGUAAAUGGAGGGUGAAGACACGCAGAUCUGCUAGUAGCAGCUACUUGUCACAUCUACAAAAUAGACAAUAGUGAUUAUUGGCUUAGCUAAGACACUACAUGUGUUUUAGCAGAGGCAAGUCUUAGUAUUGUCUAUGGCCGGAUACUUUUUUGGCUUUUUGUAGCUGCUACUAGGGGCCCUGUGUGUUUUCACCCUAAACGUUGUGUAAAAUAAACAGCAAAUUCCUCAACGUUUGUGCGCCUUCCAAAUUCCAGAUUUGGCGGCAUUAGAAAAGAAGAAUGCGUGAUAAGUGCACCUUUUUUUCCUUUUGAUAUGUGGUGAAUUUGAAUGUUGUUUCUUUGCUUUAUUUUUACACAACAGUAAAUAUUCCCCGUAGUGUCAGUCAAUCGUUUAAGUGUCCAUUGCUAAUUGUUGUGAAAGGGAUAUGCUCUUAGUUAGAGAGGAUCUGGAUAAUUGGCUAUAGAUAUUUUUCAUUGUCCUUUUAUUUGAUAGGGCAGAGAACUCUGCUCCCUGAAUAUCGCAUAAUCAUCUUUUAGCUUUGGUAGGUAGUCAUCAUUUACCAGAGAGAGAGUCUGAUAGUAGUGAAGCAAGCAAGUCUUUAUAAAGUUCAAGAAUGCCAUUGAAACAUACAUUUUAUCUUCUGGACCUGUUUUCCCAAUACUUAGCUUUUCUUGCUAACUGUUUAAACUUUUUUUCCUAGAUACAACAAUUUAUUUUUUGUGGAGGAAGAGUUAUCUUCUAUGAAAGGAAUGCUGCCUUCCAUCUCUAAAAUGGUCAUUUUGGAGGAAGUACACAAGCCUGGCCCACAAAAGUUUUGGAAGGUCGAAGAGGCUAGAACAUUACCAGGUGGAUGGAGCCAGGGCAUACCUAAUAAUGCACAGUUAAGACUUCAUGACAGAACAGUUAGAUGAAUACAGAGGAAAGAAGAAAAGAAAGAAGAAGAGAGAAGAAAUCAUACAAGACAGCAUUUUAUGCCAGUGGAGCCAAAUAAAAU